UCACAGAUGGAGCUUGUUCUCUUGGGGU
rnacentral:sRNA from 1 species